AUUGAACGCUGGCGGCAGGCUUAACACAUGCAAGUCGAGCGGGGUGAUGGUGCUUGCACUAUCACUUAGCGGCGGACGGGUGAGUAAUGCUUAGGAAUCUGCCUAUUAGUGGGGGACAACAUCUCGAAAGGGAUGCUAAUACCGCAUACGUCCUACGGGAGAAAGCAGGGGAUCACUUGUGACCUUGCGCUAAUAGAUGAGCCUAAGUCGGAUUAGCUAGUUGGUGGGGUAAAGGCCUACCAAGGCGACGAUCUGUAGCGGGUCUGAGAGGAUGAACCGGCACGCUGGGACUGAGACACGGCCCAAACUCCUACGGGAGGCAGCGGUGGGGAAGAUUGGACAAUGGGGGGAACGCUGAUCCAGCCAUGCCGCGUGUGUGAAGAAGGCCUUAUGGUUGUAAAGCACUUUAAGCGAGGAGGAGGCUCUUUUGGUUAAUACCCAAGAUGAGUGGACGUUACUCGCAGAAUAAGCACCGGCUAACUCUGUGCCAGCAGCCGCCGUAA
rnacentral:rRNA from 1 species